UACGAAGGGUGCGAGCGUUAAUCGGAAUUACUGGGCGUAAAGCGUGCGCAGGCGGUUUUGUAAGACAGAUGUGAAAUCCCCGGGCUCAACCUGGGAACUGCAUUUGAGACUGGAAGGCUAGAGUACGGCAGAGGGGGAUGGAAUUCCGCGUGUAGCAGUGAAAUGCGUAGAUAUGCGGAGGAACACCAAUGGCGAAGGCAACCCCCUGGGCCUGUACUGACGCUCAGGCACGAAAGCGUGGGGAGCAAACAGG
rnacentral:rRNA from 1 species